rnacentral:tRNA from 1 species
CCGACCUUAGCUCAGUUGGUAGAGCGGAGGACUGUAGUUGAACGCAGAUAAUCCUUAGGUCGCUGGUUCGAAUCCGGCAGGUCGGA